AACGAACGCUGGCGGCAUGCCUAACACAUGCAAGUCGAACGAGAUCUUCGGGUCUAGUGGCGCACGGGUGCGUAACGCGUGGGAAUCUGCCCUCUGGUUCGGAAUAACAGUUGGAAACGAUUGCUAAUACCGGAUGAUGACGAAAGUCCAAAGAUUUAUCGCCAGAGGAUGAGCCCGCGUAGGAUUAGCUAGUUGGUGUGGUAAAGGCGCACCAAGGCGACGAUCCUUAGCUGGUCUGAGAGGAUGAUCAGCCACACUGGGACUGAGACACGGCCCAGACUCCUACGGGAGGCAGCAGUGGGGAAUAUUGGACAAUGGGCGAAAGCCUGAUCCAGCAAUGCCGCGUGAGUGAUGAAGGCCUUAGGGUUGUAAAGCCCUUUUACCCGGGAUGAUAAUGACAGUACCGGGAGAAUAAGCUCCGGCUAACUCCGUGCCAGCCGCCGCAGUAA
rnacentral:rRNA from 1 species